GCGAGGCAGAGAGCUGCGCGCGCGAAAGGCGCGGCCUGCCUGGAGGGUUGUCCCAGAUCGAAGACUUGCUGGCGAUCCAGUUCUACCUGCUGCUGGACGGCCGCCUCGUAGCUUUUCCAGAUGCGUCUCUGUCAUCUUUGAGAAAGGCAAAGGGAAAACGGUGCAACUUCUCUUACCGAGUUGUUCCGAUGCCGAGUGGCUCUUUUAGCUUCUUUUUUACGGUUUUAACUUCUUUUUUACUGCUUUUUGCUUCAAGAGUUUGGCUUCUUAUCACCGCUGCAGGAAAUGGGACGAACUUUUGGGGGUGAUCUUUAACAUUUGAAAAGACUCAAUCGAACCCCUGAAAGUACACAGGUGCACCUGUCCCCGUUCAGGGGGUGGGGGCUGUACCUACCGGACAGUGCCCUGCGUCGUUGACAGAAGCAUUUCUGUUUCAAAACAUAUUGAUUUGAAUUUUGCUUCACUUAGCCUGUAUUAUCUUUAUUACUUUCUGCUUAAAGAAAUGACAUCCAAAGCUGUCACUUGACCAUGGAAUCAAGAGUAAAGACUUUUUAAAUCAAAAGGCAUGAUGUCCCAGCCUGGUAUACUUGUUUAAAAGUUAAGCACCAGUUCUGAAGACAAUAAUCUAUGUCUGUUACUUGGUGAGUCACUAGGCCAACAAGAUGAAUAUGCUAAAUUCGGGGAGAGAGAAGCUUGCUGGUCCAGAUGCUACAGUAAUAUGCUGGUGAGAAGAUGUGAGUACUGAAACAGUGCCUUCAGUCUGUCACAUUAGAGCCAAAGCCAAAAUGAACAUGUGCCUUGCACUAAGAAAUCCCAGGAUUGUCACAACUUGUGCCAGCUGUUGAGGUUAUGACACCUGUGCCAGCAUCGCCAGCUCUGCCCACUGUCAUCUGUUCCAACUGCUCCAUCUGCACUGUUUGUACCAAUUCUCCCAUUUCUGCAUCUGUACCUUCUGCAGAAAUGGUUCCAACAAUGCCAGCUGUGUCAUUGGUGCCAAAUAUGCCAGAUGUUCUAUUUGUCCACCCUGGGCCAAAUCAAUGUAGUUUUGUGCUCAUUAGUUUUAGCUGGUAGAUUCUAUUUCACAUUUUUUUAGAAGAUAGAAUCAUUACUAAAUCACAACUACAACUGCUUAACAUCUAUUUAGCCAUCCAUCUAUCUGUAAACACAACUUUGUUACUGUGUAGUCUGUCAACAUUAUUUUGAUCACAUUAAACCAUACGU